GCAGCAGGCGCGCAAAUUACCCUCUCCCUACACGGGGAGGUAGGGACAAUAAAUAACAAUACGGGGUUCUUUAGGAUCUCGUAUUUGAAAUGAGUACAAUUUAAAUCUCUUAACGAGGAACAAUUGGAGGGCAAGUCUGGUGCCAGCAGCGCCGGUAAUUCCAGCUCCAAUAGCGUAUAUUAAAGUUGUUGCAGUUAAAAAGCUCGUAGUUGAAUUUCGGGGUCAGUAGGUCGGUCGUGCCACUGGUAUGAAACUGGUUUUACUGAUUCCUCCCUCUUGAAGAACUGUAAUGCCAUUAAUUUGGUGUUGCAGGGAAUCAGGACUGUUACUUUGAAAAGAUUAGAGUGUUUAAAGCAGGCUUUAGCUUGAAUACAUUAGCAUGGAAUAAUGAAAUAGGACGUUUGAUCCUAUUUUGUUGGUUUCUAGGAUUGACGUAAUGAUUAAUAGGGAUAGUUGGGGGCAUUAGUAUUCAAUUGUCAGAGGUGAGAUUCUUGGAUUUAUUGAAGACUAACUACUGCGAAAGCAUUUGCCCAGGAUGUUUUCAUUAUUCGAGAAAAAAAGUUAGGGGAUCGAAGACGAUCAGAUACCGUCGUAGUCUUAACCAUAAACUAUGCCGACUAGGGAUCGGAUGAUGUUAAUUUUUUAAUGACUCAUUCGGCCCCUUACGGGAAACCAAAGUGUUU
rnacentral:rRNA from 1 species